CACGUAGGGCGCAAGCGUUUGUCCGGAAUUAUUGGGCGUAAAGAGCUCGUAGGCGGUCUGUUGCGUCUGCUGUGAAAACUCGGGGCUUAACCCCGAGCCUGCAGUGGAUACGGGCAGACUAGAGGUAGGUAGGGGAGAAUGGAAUUCCCGGUGUAGCGGUGAAAUGCGCAGAUAUCGGGAGGAACACCUGUGGCGAAAGCGGCGCACUGGACCAUAACUGACGCUGAGGCGCGAAAGCUAGGGGAGCAAACAGG
rnacentral:rRNA from 1 species